rnacentral:lncRNA from 1 species
AAUAACCACUCCAACUACACAAUAAAUUAAACUACUUAGUAAGUACUAAUAAAAAUAUACUUAAAAUACUCUUUUAGUUUAAAACAUUAUUUUCUUAUCUUAAUAAUCCUGUAUAUCCCCUAAACAUAAUCUAUUUUGAAGCAACAAGACUUUCAUGAAGAGCUUUGAACUUGGUCACUUGUGUUUCUCUAUUAGGUAGCUUUUCUUUGACAACUUGGUGAUU